UAGGGAAUAUUGGACAAUGGGUGCGAGCCUGAUCCAGCCAUGCCGCGUGCAGGAAGACGGCCUUCUGGGUUGUAAACUGCUUUUGCCAGGGGAUAAAAAGUCCCUGCGGGGAAAAUUGAAGGUACCUGGUGAAUAAGCCACGGCUAACUACGUGCCAGCAGCCGCGGUAAUACGUAGGUGGCAAGCGUUGUCCGGAUUUAUUGGGUUUAAAGGGUGCGUAGGUUGUGUUGUAAGUCAGUGGUGAAAUCCGGCAGCUUAACUGUCGAUGUGCCAUUGAUACUGCAGCACUUGAGUACAGACGAGGUAGGCGGAAUUGACGGUGUAGCGGUGAAAUGCUUAGAUAUCGUCAAGAACACCGAUAGCGAAGGCAGCUUACUAGACUGUAACUGACACUGAUGCACG
rnacentral:rRNA from 1 species